UAAUGUUGUUGCAGUUAAAAAGCUCGUAGUUGGAUUUCUGGUUUGAUGCCCUGGCCCGCGUUCAAUUUUGACGUGUGUGCCGGUUGUGCGUCUGCCAUCCUUCUAGAGAACGUUCCUACCCUUAAUUGGGCCGGGUUCGAGAUCUAGAUCUUUUACUUUGAAAAAAUUAGAGUGUUUAAAGCAGGCUUGUGCUGUGAAUACAUUAGCAUGGAAUAAUAAUCUAGGACUUCGGUUCUAUUUUGUUGGUUUCUAGAACUGAAGUAAUGAUUGAUAGGGAUAGUUGGGGGUGCUAGUAUUCAGCGGCCAGAGGUGAAAUUCUUGGAUUCGCUGAAGACUAACUUAUGCGAAAGCAUUCACCAAGGAUGUCUUCUUUAAUCAAGAACGAAAGUUGGGGGAUCGAAGACGAUCAGAUACCGUCGUAGUCUCAACCAUAAACUAUGCCGACUAAGGAUGAGUGAACGUUAAUUUGACUUCAUUCGCACUUUAUGAGAAAUCAAAGUUUUUGGGUUCCGGGGGGAGUAUGGUCGCAAGGCUGAAACUUAAAGGAAUUGACGG
rnacentral:rRNA from 1 species